UUCCUCUUCUCCGGCAAAGCAGGUUCCCUCGCCUUUGGUCGCGCCGCCGCCACCGCCGCCGGCCUUCUGGACGGCGCCUCCUUACCCAACAUUCCGAGAUACGCCCCCUGCUCUUCCUAUUCCUCCUCGGGAACUAAACCCUAACCACUGUUUCUUUUCUCUGCGACUCCUCUGAUAUGGUUUGCCACCUUCUUUCGCUUCCCCGGCAAAGCAGGUCCCCUCGCAUUUGGUCGCGCCGCCGCGCGCCUCCAAGACCGCGCCUCCUCACCCAACAUUCCAAGGCAUCUGCAUAACCAUGGAGAAACAAAGAGAUUCAAAUGAAGUGAAGGAAAGAAGGAUAUGUGCUCACUGUAAUGUGGUCUGAUUGCAUCUUUUCCUGGUCCUGCCGGCACUCGUAUUGCCCGCCGCAGCUGCCAUGGUUCUAUCAGUGAACACCUUGGUGCGAAGGAGAAGCAGGAGGAGGGUUUAGCUUUCUGGAGUGGGAUGUAAAUGUGGGGUGGACGACGACGAUAAGGAAGAUUAUAGUGGGCUGGACUGGACCGAACUUGUCCUCGCUCGAACUUGUCUUACUCCUCUUUUGGUUCUUCACUAAACCCUAGCUACUGUUUCUCUUCUCGGUUUAGUCUGCCACCUUACUCUUCCCUCGUAAAACAGGUUCAAUCGCCUUUGGUUCUUCAAGAUUAUAUUAGUAUUCAUUUUGCAUAUUAGGUUUGUAAGCCGUCGUGCACUCAGUGCCAUCGUGAGCGUUUUGUGUUCUGGUCUCGGAGGUUCUAGGACUUUGCCACUAGGGGUGCCAUGUUUUGCACACGCCAUUUUAUUUAUUUUCGUGUACAGGCAUUGCAAAUUCAAUACAUGAGUUCUAAAGUCCUUCAAAUUUA